UCUCAUCAAGAGCAGUGGAGGGAAAGGCCCUGUGAAGCUGCGGCAACCAUUGAUUAUUCAAACGGUGCCAAUUCCUAUAGGUACAGCCUAUGAAGAUGAGA
rnacentral:ncRNA from 1 species